UACGAAAGGUGCGAGCGUUAAUCGGAAUUACUGGGCGUAAAGCGCGCGUAGGCGGUUUGUUAAGUCAGAUGUGAAAGCCCCGGGCUCAACCUGGGAAUUGCAUUUGAAACUGGCAGGCUAGAGUGCAGUAGAGGGAGGUGGAAUUUCCGGUGUAGCGGUGAAAUGCGUAGAGAUCGGAAGGAACACCAGUGGCGAAGGCGGCCUCCUGGACUGACACUGACGCUGAGGUGCGAAAGCGUGGGGAGCAAACAGGAUUAGAUACCCGCGUAGUCC
rnacentral:rRNA from 1 species